GAUGAACGCUGGCGGCGUGCCUAAUACAUGCAAGUCGAGCGAACAGACGAGGAGCUUGCUCCUCUGACGUUAGCGGCGGACGGGUGAGUAACACGUGGAUAACCUACCUAUAAGACUGGGAUAACUUCGGGAAACCGGAGCUAAUACCGGAUAAUAUAUUGAACCGCAUGGUUCAAUAGUGAAAGACGGUUUUGCUGUCACUUAUAGAUGGAUCCGCGCCGCAUUAGCUAGUUGGUAAGGUAACGGCUUACCAAGGCGACGAUGCGUAGCCGACCUGAGAGGGUGAUCAGCCACACUGGAACUGAGACACGGUCCAGACUCCUACGGGAGGCAGCAGUAGGGAAUCUUCCGCAAUGGGCGAAAGCCUGACGGAGCAACGCCGCGUGAGUGAUGAAGGUCUUCGGAUCGUAAAACUCUGUUAUUAGGGAAGAACAAAUGUGUAAGAAACUAUGCACGUCUUGACGGUACCUAAUCAGAAAGCCACGGCUAACUACGUG
rnacentral:rRNA from 1 species